GAUGAACGCUGGCGGCGUGCCUAAUACAUGCAAGUCGAGCGAAUGGAUUAAGAGCUUGCUCUUAUGAAGUUAGCGGCGGACGGGUGAGUAACACGUGGGUAACCUGCCCAUAAGACUGGGAUAACUCCGGGAAACCGGGGCUAAUACCGGAUAACAUUUUGAACCGCAUGGUUCGAAAUUGAAAGGCGGCUUCGGCUGUCACUUAUGGAUGGACCCGCGUCGCAUUAGCUAGUUGGUGAGGUAACGGCUUACCAAGGCAACGAUUCGUAGCCGACCUGAUAGGGUGAUCGGCCAAACUGGGACUGAGACACGGCCCAGACUCCUACGGGAGGAAGCAGUAGGGAAGCUUCCGCAAUGGACGAAAGUCUGACGGAGCAACGCCGCGUGAGUGAUGAAGGCUUUCGGGUCGUAAAACUCUGUUGUUAGGGAAGAACAAGUGCUAGUUGAAUAAGCUGGCACCUUGACGGUACCUAACCAGAAAGCCACGGCUAACUACGUGCCAGCCGCCGCUGUAA
rnacentral:rRNA from 1 species